GACGAACCGUGCGAGCGUUAUUCGGAAUCACUGGGCUUAAAGCGCGUGUAGGCGGGCCGGUGCGUCGGUCGCUGAAAGCCCCCGGCUCAACCGGGGAAGCGGCACCGAGACGACCGGCCUGGAGGGGGGUAGGGGGACCUGGAACUUCCGGUGGAGCGGUGAAAUGCGUUGAGAUCGGAAGGAACGCCCGUGGCGAAAGCGAGGUCCUGGACCCUUUCUGACGCUGAGACGCGAAAGCCAGGGGAGCGAACGGG
rnacentral:rRNA from 1 species